rnacentral:rRNA from 1 species
AUUGAACGCUGGCGGCAGGCUUAACACAUGCAAGUCGAGCGGAGAUGAGGUGCUUGCACCUUAUCUUAGCGGCGGACGGGUGAGUAAUGCUUAGGAAUCUGCCUAUUAGUGGGGGACAACAUUCCGAAAGGAAUGCUAAUACCGCAUACGUCCUACGGGAGAGAGCAGGGGAUCUUCGGACCUUGCGCUAAUAGAUGAGCCUAAGUCGGAUUAGCUAGUUGGUGGGGUAAAGGCCUACCAAGGCGACGAUCUGUAGCGGGUCUGAGAGGAUGUUCCGCCACACUGGGACUGCGACACGGCCCAGACUCCUACGGGAGGCAGCAGUGGGGAAUAUUGGACAAUGGGGGGAACCCUGAUCCAGCCAUGCCGCGUGUGUGAAGAAGGCCUUAUGGUUGUAAAGCACUUUAAGCGAGGAGGAGGCUACUGAGACUAAUACUCUUGGAUAGUGGACGUUACUCGCAGAAUAAGCACCGGCUAACUCUGUGCCAGCAGCCGCGGUAAAAC